CCUACGGGGGGCAGCAGUGGGGAAUAUUGCGCAAUGGGCGAAAGCCUGACGCAGCGAAGCCGCGUGAGGGAUGAAGGUCUUCGGAUCGUAAAACUCUGUUAGCAGGGAAGAACGGUCACUGUGGUAAUCAGCAGUGACUUGACGGUACCUGCAAAGGAAGCACCGGCUAACUCCGUGCCAGCAGCCGCGGUAAUACGGAGGGUGCGAGCGUUGAUCGGAAUUACUGGGCGUAAAGCGGGCGUAGGCGGUAUGUCAAGUCAAGAGUGAAAUCCCCGCGCUCAACGUGGGAACUGCCUUUGAAACUGGCAAACUGGAGUGUGUGAGAGGAUAGUGGAAUUCCAGGUGUAGGAGUGAAAUCCGUAGAUAUCUGGAGGAACAUCAGUGGCGAAGGCGACUAUCUGGCACAUAACUGACGCUGAGGAGCGAAAGCGUGGGUAGCAAACAGGAUUAGAUACCCUAGUAGUC
rnacentral:rRNA from 1 species